CAUGCAAGUCGAACGGAAAGGCCCUUCGGGGUGCUCGAGUGGCGAACGGGUGAGUAACACGUGGGUGAUCUGCCCUGCACUUUGGGAUAAGCCUGGGAAACUGGGUCUAAUACCGAAUAGGACUCCGGACUGCAUGGUCUGGGGUGGAAAGCUUUUGCGGUGUGGGAUGGGCCCGCGGCCUAUCAGCUUGUUGGUGGGGUGAUGGCCUACCAAGGCGACGACGGGUAGCCGGCCUGAGAGGGUGACCGGCCACACUGGGACUGAGAUACGGCCCAGACUCCUACGGGAGGCAGCAGUGGGGAAUAUUGCACAAUGGGCGCAAGCCUGAUGCAGCGACGCCGCGUGGGGGAUGACGGCCUUCGGGUUGUAAACCUCUUUCAGCACAGACGAAGCGUAAGUGACGGUAUGUGCAGAAGAAGCACCGGCCAACUACGUGCCAGCAGCCGCGGUAAUACGUAGGGUGCGAGCGUUGUCCGGAAUUACUGGGCGUAAAGAGCUCGUAGGUGGUUUGUCGCGUUGUUCGUGAAAACUCACA
rnacentral:rRNA from 1 species